rnacentral:rRNA from 1 species
UGGCCUACGGGGGGCUGCAGUGAGGAAUAUUGGUCAAUGGGCGCAAGCCUGAACCAGCCAUCCCGCGUGCAGGAAGACGGCCCUAUGGGUUGUAAACUGCUUUUCCAGGGGGAGAAACUUGCGCACGUGUUGCGCAAUUGACGGUACCCUGGGAAUAAUCAUCGGCUAACUCCGUGCCAGCCGCCGCGGUAAUACGGAGGAUGCGAGCGUUAUCCGGAUUCAUUGGGUUUAAAGGGUGCGUAGGCGGACUAUUAAGUCAGGGGUGAAAUCCUGCAGCUUAACUGCAGAACUGCCAUUGAUACUGAUAGCCUUGAGUUUGGUUAAGGUAGGCGGAAUGUGUAAUGUAGCGGUGAAAUGCUUAGAUAUUACACAGAACACCAAUUGCGUAGGCAGCUUACUGAGCCGACACUGACGCUGAGGCACGAAAGCGUGGGGAUCGAACAGGAUUAGAUACCCCGGUAGUCC